UACGAGAGGCCCAAACGUUAUUCGGAUUUACUGGGCUUAAAGAGUUCGUAGGCGGCUUGGAAAGUGGGGUGUGAAAGCCCUCGGCUCAACCGAGGAAUUGCGCUCCAAACUACCGAGCUUGAGUAGGCUAGAGGUGAGCAGAACUGAUGGUGGAGCGGUGAAAUGCGUUGAUAUCAUCAGGAAUACCGGAGGCGAAGGCGGCUCACUGGGACAUAACUGACGCUGAGGAACGAAAGCUAGGGGAGCAAACGGG
rnacentral:rRNA from 1 species